UACGUAGGGGGCUAGCGUUGUCCGGAAUCAUUGGGCGUAAAGCGCGUGUAGGCGGUCCGGUAAGUCCGCUGUGAAAGUCGAGGGCUCAACCCUCGAAUGCCGGUGGAUACUGUCGGGCUUGAGUACGGGAGAGGGAUGCAGAAUUCCAGGUGUAGCGGUGAAAUGCGUAGAUAUCUGGAGGAAUACCGGUGGCGAAGGCGGCAUCCUGGACCGGCAUUGACGCUGAGGAGCGAAAGCCAGGGGAGCAAACGGG
rnacentral:rRNA from 1 species